CAGCUCAAAUUUGAAAUCUGGUCCCCAGGGCCCGAGUUGUAAUUUGCAGAGGAUGCUUUUGGUGAGGUGCCUUCCGAGUUCCCUGGAACGGGACGCCAUAGAGGGUGAGAGCCCCGUCUGGUUGGAUACCGAGCCUCUGUAAAGCUCCUUCGACGAGUCGAGUAGUUUGGGAAUGCUGCUCUAAAUGGGAGGUAUAUGUCUUCUAAAGCUAAAUAUUGGCCAGAGACCGAUAGCGCACAAGUAGAGUGAUCGAAAGAUGAAAAGCACUUUGAAAAGAGGGUUAAAUAGUACGUGAAAUUGUUGAAAGGGAAGCACUUAUGACCAGACUUGGCCCCGGUGAAUCAUCCAGCGGUUCCCGCUGGUGCACUUUGCCGGGGUUCAGGCCAGCAUCAGUUCGCUCCGGGGGAUAAAGGCUUUGGGAAUGUGGCUCCCUCGGGAGUGUUAUAGCCCAUUGCGUAAUACCCUGUGGCGGGCUGAGGUUCGCGCUUUAUGCAAGGAUGCUGGCAUAAUG
rnacentral:rRNA from 3 species